rnacentral:misc_RNA from 1 species
GCAUGCACCACCACAUCUGU